rnacentral:misc_RNA from 1 species
UGUGCUUGCAACUUGAGGUGGCUGUGGAGAAAUUUCAAAUUCUGUUAGAGGAAUUCCAAUUUCAGUUGAAGGAAGAGUUGCACGCUCAUCAGGCAAAACACCAGGAGAAGAAGUAUGGGUAGGAGAUGAAUUUCUGAACUCCAUUGAAGUACUUAUACAUGGAAUAGGGGGCAAAUUUCCAAACUCAGUUGAAGGAAAAUUUGUGUCAAGAAGACUAGGUGAAUUAUCUUCCCCAAAAAAAUUACUUAUAUCAAAAUCAAAUUCAUCAAUAGUGGGCCUCUCAAUAUUGCCAAAUCCACUUCCUUCAGCCAGACCAUAGCUUUCUUGCAAAAUGCCAGCAUUACCUUGACUCACUUCCCCCAAGUUAGCUCCACUGCUGUCAACGUCGUAAUUUCCCUCAACUCCAUAGCUUGACUCCACCAUGUUAAUGCGAGAACAACUCUCAUUAAACUGUCCUUCUGUCCUACGCCUCUGAUAGGGAAUAUCAUAAGUAAAGUCAACAGUAUCAUUUGGUUGCGCUAGCUCGCUCCUUUCACUUAUUUGAGAGUUUGAAGCCAGUUCCAAUUCCCAUCUUGACACUCUUUCUGGAAGGAAUGUUGAAGGUUCAUCCCAUUGAACCUUUAUGGAUCUCCACUCAGAACCAGCCCAUGACGAUACAUUAUCUUGAGAACCAACAAUAUGGCCAGUGAAUCUUUGUUCAAGAACUUCCUCACCCUCCAACCUCAUUGAAAAACUAGUCCCAAUGGGGAAGUUGAGAUUUUGAGCUUCAAGGUACUUGUUAACAUUUACCAUGAACUCGGACUUGUUUUCUCUAGGCUUGUAGAUGAAAUGAAAGGGAGUUCCAAUCUUGAUAGCCAUAAAAGCACUAGACAAAGUUCCAACACACUUGUCUUUCAAAGAUUUAAUAGAAGGUGUGCCAUUUGUGUCUUGCUUCAUGAGCUUCUUUAAUCCAACCAGAAGGGGUCCUGUUUCUCCCCUUAAGAAGUUUAACACAUCACCUUUGGCUAGCUUUUUUGAGCUAGCAAAUGCCUUCCAGCCCUCUGUUAGCAAGUGUCGCUUAGGUGUGCCCCUAAAAACAUGUUUGAAGCGCCAAUUAUUUCCUUGCAGAUCAGUUGCAUCCAAGUACUGAUAAGGUACCUCCUCGGACAGUUCCUGAGUAGAAAGAAACCAAAAAUACAUUUAAUAUAUAAAUAGGUAAGCUAAUUAUUUCCUUGCAGGUCAGUUCCAAAUAAGUCCUGACAAUGUACCUCCUGGGGCAUUUUGUGAGAAGAAAAGAAAGCAAAAAUAUGGUUAACACAUAAAUAGGUAAUUGUGCUGUACACAACAGAAAUGAGAUCAAUAAUUAAAAUUUCGAUGCUAACCAAUGGAGGUAGACAGUUCUCCGCGUCAUGCCUGUUAAUAUAUAAACUACCAUGGUUGCUUAUGUCUGAAGCAGUAAGUGUUCUAUGAAAUGAAUGAACCAAGAGUUGAGGAUUUGGGCUAGUGACCUUUCUUUGCUGAUUCAUAGAGAGAAAAAAAAUCAACAAGGCAAGUGAAGGGGGAAAGAAGAGAAAGGGGGAAAAAUGAAAAAUGAAAAUGAAGUUGUAAAUUUGUUUGCAAAAAGAGGAUGGCUUACAUUUUUCACAUGAACCAAUGUUAUUUCUACAGAAAUUUGGUCUGUUUCAGGUUCAGCCAUAUGAUAAACAUUCAUCACUUCACAAAGAAUUUUGGACGGAAGUUCAAAUGGAAGCUCUAGCCCCCGAACCAUUGGACCUCCAAGCUUUUCUAUGUGACCUUCUGGAAAAUAAUAAAAUUGUUCCCCUCUACAAGGAAGGGUGCCACCAGCACAGAUAUCCAGUAUCUUCUUUUUUAGAGCAUCACCAUAGUUUGCAUGUGGGCGUGCUACAGUGGAAUAAUCCAUAGUCGAGAUGGCCAAAAUGUUAUGGAUAUCCUCCUGUGUGGAUUAAGCUCAAACCACCAUGUGGGUGUCCUUGUUGUUGAAACUUUGCAUGGUAAGAUCCAAGCGAAAAACAGAAGUAGAACUGAUAGAUUAUCGAUUCAAAUCAGGCCCAGAUCACUUCAGGUGAUAGUAAUGAAUUCUCUUUCCAAAAAAAACAGAAAAGAAGGUAGGGAUUUUCUUGCUUUAUUCACUUACCAUUCUCAUGCUGGAGUUGACCCACGAAGACCAGCAUGUCCCCCCUAUCAGAAAAUGGACCUGCCUUUUAAGAAAGUUUUCUUUUUUUUUGUUAUUUUUU